rnacentral:rRNA from 1 species
GGCGAACGGGUGAGUAACACGUGGGUAAUCUGCCCUGCACUCUGGGAUAAGCCUGGGAAACUGGGUCUAAUACUGGAUAUGACCUUUCUCCUUAUGGGGUUUGGUGGAAAGUUUUUCGGUGUAGGAUGAGCCCGCGGCCUAUCAGCUUGUUGGUGGGGUGAUGGCCUACCAAGGCGGCGACGGGUAGCCGGCCUGAGAGGGUGUACGGCCACAUUGGGACUGAGAUACGGCCCAG